rnacentral:rRNA from 1 species
AACGCGAAGAACCUUACCUGGUCUUGACAUCCACGGAAGUUUUCAGAGAUGAGAAUGUGCCUUCGGGAACCGUGAGACAGGUGCUGCAUGGCUGUCGUCAGCUCGUGUUGUGAAAUGUUGGGUUAAGUCCCGCAACGAGCGCAACCCUUAUCCUUUGUUGCCAGCGGUCCGGCCGGGAACUCAAAGGAGACUGCCAGUGUUAAACUGGAGGAAGGUGGGGAUGACGUCAAGUCAUCAUGGCCCUUACGACCAGGGCUACACACGUGCUACAAUGGCGCAUACAAAGAGAAGCGACCUCGCGAGAGCAAGCGGACCUCAUAAAGUGCGUCGUAGUCCGGAUUGGAGUCUGCAACUCGACUCCAUGAAGUCGGAAUCGCUAGUAAUCGUGGAUCAGAAUGCCACGGUGAAUACGUUCCCGGGCCUUGUACACACCG